UAAAAUAUCCAAACUAUGGUGCCCUGUUCCUGUGCAAGGGAAGAACAUUGCCAGCUUGACCCAAUCUCAGAUUCCAGCUAGAUCCAUUGGCUCUGGUAUCCCAUUCCUGUCCUCCACUGUUACCCCUCGGCUUUGGUUCCUGACUACUGAUGCCUGCUCCAACCACUAGGCCUGAUGCCUGCUCAUUCCGGUUGACUGACACUGCAUAAGAUGUACACAAUUUACAUACCCUGAAGGUGGAACGGACUAUGCCAGUGCUGGAAAAGAAGGUGGUUGAAGAAAUUUCUGAAUAAUAAGCAUAUGAAGUGUUGGCAUAUAGGUUUCUCGGUCCCUGGCUGUGUCCUUGGUGUAUUGUUGGAAUGCCUGAGAUUGACAUGGUGGAUGUAUAUCAUGGCAUACAUCACUGUUUUUAAUGGGGUUUAGUGUACAGAUCUGUGUAAGGUUGCUGAUUUGCAGUGUCUAGAGCUGCAGUUUUCAAACUUUUGAGUUACAAUUUUUGGUUGCGUGGCCCACCCCCAAACCAGACAAAAAUAGACACAAUACCUGCCCCUCCCACCUCAGGUUUUCAGGGUGUGGGAAGGCACGUGUGAUGGUCUCUUAAGGACAGAGCCGGCAGUGAGCACAGAGGCUGCCAGGAGUGGAAAUCAGCAUGGCCGUAGCAGUUGACACUGACCCACAGGCUGGGUGGCCUGCUGAGAUGAAUCGGGGGUGGAGGUGGUGCUGCUGGCCGGAGCCCCUUUGGGAGUCACUGCUCCCGGCUCAAGCCCUGCCAGGCAUUGCUACUUGCCCCCCUGAACAUUCUUCCACACCCCCCGAGGGAGGCACACCCCACAGUUUGAAAACCUCUGUCUAGAGAAUGUCAGGGGUUACUUGACUAAAUGGCUGAGCUGCCAGCUUUUAAAAUAUUUUUUUUCAAAUUCAACAAAUGAUUGUGUUUCAGAACUAGACACUUGAUUCAUUAUAGCUCGUCCAUUCAUAAUAACUGGGUAAAAGCUGUAUUUAGCGUUUUUAUUAAAUCAUC